UAUGUGUGUGUGUUCAUCCUGAUCUAAGAGGCCUUGCCUGGGACCUUGAGCUUGCUGAAGCAUGGGGGCAUGGAUUGUCUCUUGUCUGGGAGAGUGCGAGACCCUGAGAGAUAACAUACUUUACAGGCAACUGGGAACACGGCGUCCCAAACCCUCAGCCUCCUAUCUCACAUUCUCUGCCCCCCUGACGUCCACACCUUAGAUAGCACAUCAUCUGCUCAGGGAAUGAGCCUUCAGCAUGCACAGGAUUUGGUGCCAGCACCAGCCAAUGCACUAUGGCAUCGACUUGCCUGCAACAGACGUUGUUUACAGCGAGUUGUUUUGAGUGGAGUGUGUAUCCGGCUCUAGUGAGUGCAGGUGCUUGAGGAGGCCCAGAAGGAGGAGGAGGAGGAGGUGGAGGAGGAGGAGAGCCAGUGAAUAAAAGUUACUCUGUCUUCCUUAAACAUCUUCAAGGUCUCUGGGAAGGAAUAAAUUCCCAUGGCAGAGAGUUUCCUGGGAGGAGACCGCCCUGGCACUAGACUGGGUGACAUCUGCUGAGUUGAUGCCUUAUUUCCAUGCUCGUUGUUCCUUUUUCCUAUGCAUAUACCUCUUUGAGACGUAGCAUUAAAGAGGCAUAGGGCAUGGGAAAAUGGGGCUGCAGAGGUGUUCCACUGGAGUUUUCUACAAAACCUCAUCUACUGAGAAAGGGUUAGGUAAACAUGCCAUCUUAAACGCUUUCAUGAUCUGCCUCUCUACCCAAAGGAGUAUAUAGCUCUUAGCAGCGUGAUUGUUUUUAUUUGCUACAUGGGAUGCUGUGAAGAAACAGUGAUGGUGUGAUCUUGUGAAGUGUAGCGUGAGAAAUGAAACCCAGUAAGCAAUGUGUUGUCUGUCUGUAAUUUAAUAAAGAAACUGAAUUGAAAAGCA